rnacentral:rRNA from 1 species
GGGAAACUGCCCGAUGGAGGGGGAUAACUACUGGAAACGGUAGCUAAUACCGCAUAACGUCGCAAGACCAAAGAGGGGGACCUUAGGGCCUCUUGCCAUCGGAUGUGCCCAGAUGGGAUUAGCUAGUAUGUGGGGUAAAGGCUCACCUAGGCGACGAUCCCUAGCUGGUCUGAGAGGAUGACCAGCCACACUGGAACUGAGACACGGUCCAGACUCCUACGGGAGGCAGCAGUGGGGAAUAUUGCACAAUGGGCGCAAGCCUGAUGCAGCCAUGCCGCGUGUAUGAAGAAGGCCUUCGGGUUGUAAAGUACUUUCAGCGGGGAGGAAGGGAGUAAAGUUAAUACCUUUGCUCAUUGACGUUACCCGCAGAAGAAGCACCGGCUAACUCCGUGCCAGCAGCCGCGGUAAUACGGAGGGUGCAAGCGUUAAUCGGAAUUACUGGGCGUAAAGCGCACGCAGGCGGUUUGUUAAGUCAGAUGUGAAAUCCCCGGGCUCAACCUGGGAACUGCAUCUGAUACUGGCAAG